rnacentral:lncRNA from 1 species
GUUCAUCUACAGUGGCUGCUCCACUGGCAAAGUGGUUGUGUACGACCUUCUAAGUGGCCACAUUGUGAAGAAGCUGACCAACCACAAGGCCUGUGUGCGUGACGUCAGUUGGCACCCCUUUGAAGAGAAGAUUGUCAGCAGUUCGUGGGACGGGAACCUGCGUCUGUGGCAGUACCGCCAGGCUGAGUACUUCCAGGAUGACAUGCCAGAAUCUGAGGAAUGUGCCAGCGCCCCUGCCCCAGUGCCCCAAUCCUCUACACCCUUUUCCUCACCCCAGUAGAUCCAACCUCCAGCCCCAUAUAGGGUGAACCUCUUGAUAAGCUCUCUGCCUCCUCCUCCCUUUCUCCCUUGUGGGGAAUGUUUGGAGGAAUCACUGGCAUUUGAUGGGGAAUAACAUAAGCCUGGGCUCUGAGCCUCAGCUGAGCCCUGGAAGAUUCUCCCCAUGGGGCAGAGUGGUCUCCUUACGUGCUCACACCCAGUCAGCUUGGGUCCCUAUCUCUGGCCAGAGUUUGGCAGGACUGCCAUUAUCUGGGGUGUGGCCUCUGCCAGCAAGAGAAGUGUCCUGGGUGUUUUUAAUCAUGUUUGAAUGUUAGGGGUUGGAUCCUAGAGUAGAUGCCUGAGGCCACAUCUGAACAGACCUGUCAGCCAGGCCUGCCAGGUCUUCACGUUGAGGAUUCAACUGGCCAAUCACAGGACAGGUGUCCUGGCCUUUCUUCCUGAGGUCUCUAGGGGAGGGGCAUGGGUAAGGGUGUUUCCUCAGCACCCUCCUGGGGUGGGGAUUAUGUCUGCUGUCAUGUCUGGGUCUUUAGGGUAGGACAGGCUGUGGUAUGAGAGGCAGGAGUCUCCACAAGGCUUCAUGUGGCCCCUUAUAGGGCAGGCCCUGCCCUCUGGGAAGGUCCCUUCAUGCUGGAGGCACACAGCUUUAAGGAAGUAGGUUGAAGUAGGACUCCUUCGUCCUCUCACUGGCUUUGGCUCCCUCAAUAAACUGUGUGGGAACCUG